UACGUAGGGUGCAAGCGUUGUUCGGAAUUACUGGGCGUAAAGCGCACGUAGGCGGAUUGUUAAGUGAGGGGUGAAAUCCCAGGGCUCAACCCUGGAACUGCCUUUCAUACUGGCAAUCUCGAGUCCGAGAGAGGUGAGUGGAAUUCCGAGUGUAGAGGUGAAAUGCGUAGAGACCCGGAGGAACACCAGUGGCGAAGGCGGCGUCCUGGCCUGCGACUGACGCUGUGGCGCGAAAGCUAGGGGAGCGAACGGG
rnacentral:rRNA from 1 species